UUGAUUCUGGCUCAGAACGAACGCUGGCGGCAUGCCUAACACAUGCAAGUCGAACGAAGCCUUCGGGCUUAGUGGCGCACGGGUGCGUAACGCGUGGGAAUCUGCCCUUGGGUUCGGAAUAACAGUUAGAAAUGACUGCUAAUACCGGAUGAUGUCUUCGGACCAAAGAUUUAUCGCCCAAGGAUGAGCCCGCGUCGGAUUAGCUAGUUGGUGAGGUAAAGGCUCACCAAGGCGACGAUCCGUAGCUGGUCUGAGAGGAUGAUCAGCCACACUGGGACUGAGACACGGCCCAGACUCCUACGGGAGGCAGCAGUGGGGAAUAUUGGACAAUGGGCGAAAGCCUGAUCCAGCCAUGCCGCGUGUGUGAAGAAGGCCUUUUGGUUGUAAAGCACUUUAAGCAGGGAGGAGAGGCUAAUGGUUAAUACCCAUUAGAUUAGACGUUACCUGCAGAAUAAGCACCGGCUAACUCUGUGCCAGCAGCCGCGGUAAUACAGAGGGUGCGAGCGUUAAUCGGAUUUACUGGGCGUAAAGCGUGCGUAGGCGGCUUUUUAAGUCGGAUGUGAAAUCCCCGAGCUUAACUUGGGAAUUGCAUUCGAUACUGGUUGGCUAGAGUAUGGGAGAGGAUGUAGAAUUCCAGGUGUAGCGGUGAAAUGCGUAGAGAUCUGGAGGAAUACCGAUGGCGAAGGCAGCCAUCUGGCCUAAUACUGACGCUGAGGUACGAAAGCAUGGGGAGCAAACAGGAUUAGAUACCCUGGUAGUCCAUGCCGUAAACGAUGUCUACUAGCCGUUGGGGCCUUUGAGGCUUUAGUGGCGCAGCUAACGCGAUAAGUAGACCGCCUGGGGAGUACGGUCGCAAGACUAAAACUCAAAUGAAUUGACGGGGGCCCGCACAAGCGGUGGAGCAUGUGGUUUAAUUCGAAGCAACGCGAAGAACCUUACCAAGUCUUGACAUAUUUUGGAAGCACUUAGAGAUAAGUGCCUAUAUCUUCGGAUAACUGAAAUACAGGUGGUGCAUGGUUGUCGUCAGCUCGUGUCGUGAGAUGUUGGGUUAAGUCCCGCAACGAGCGCAACCCUUGUCUUAUGUUGCCAGCAUUUGGUUGGGGACUCAUGAGAGACUGCCGGGGUCAACUCGGAGGAAGGUGGGGAUGACGUCAAGUCAUCAUGCCCCUUAUGUCCAGGGCUUCACACAUGCUACAAUGGCCGGUACAAAG
rnacentral:rRNA from 1 species